AUUGAACGCUGGCGGCAGGCCUAACACAUGCAAGUCGAACGGUAGCACAGAGAGCUUGCUCUCGGGUGACGAGUGGCGGACGGGUGAGUAACGUCUGGGAAACUGCCCGAUGGAGGGGGAUAACUACUGGAAACGGUAGCUAAUACCGCAUAACGUCGCAAGACCAAAGUGGGGGACCUUCGGGCCUCACACCAUCGGAUGUGCCCAGAUGGGAUUAGCUAGUAGGUGGGGUAAUGGCUCACCUAGGCGACGAUCCCUAGCUGGUCUGAGAGGAUGACCAGCCACACUGGAACUGAGACACGGUCCAGACUCCUACGGGAGGCAGCAGUGGGGAAUAUUGCACAAUGGGCGCAAGCCUGAUGCAGCCAUGCCGCGUGUAUGAAGAAGGCCUUCGGGUUGUAAAGUACUUUCAGCGGGGAGGAAGGCGGUGAAGUUAAUAACUUCACCGAUUGACGUUACCCGCAGAAGAAGCACCGGCUAACUCCGUGCCAGCAGCCGCCGCCG
rnacentral:rRNA from 1 species